GAAGGGACCUAGCGUAGUUCGGAAUUACUGGGCUUAAAGAGUUCGUAGGUGGUUAAAAAAGUUGGUGGUGAAAUCCCAGAGCUUAACUCUGGAACUGCCAUCAAAACUUUUUAGCUAGAGUAUGAUAGAGGAAAGCAGAAUUUCUAGUGUAGAGGUGAAAUUCGUAGAUAUUAGAAAGAAUACCAAUUGCGAAGGCAGCUUUCUGGAUCAUUACUGACGCUGAGGAACGAAAGCAUGGGUAGCGAAGAGGAUUAGAUACCCUCGUAGUCCAUGCCGUAA
rnacentral:rRNA from 1 species